ensembl:lncRNA
AUUAAUACUGUACAUGUCAUCUUCAGACUGACAUGUUUCAAAGCCAGGCAUCAGCUGUGUUCAGCUCUGGCUUGAAAAAAAAUAUGCAGACAACAGCACAGACCUCCUGCUACUAACAAGUAAAUAGAUAAAUAAUGAAAUGGUUUCACCUCCCAGGGGCAUGAAGCUGAGAGCUCCUCAGUACCAAGCUUUCACGAGGCCACUCCUGCAGUCACCGCUGCUGAAAGCUUCAGGCUUCAGGGCCAAAAUCCUUCAAGAAUUCCCUCCAAAGGAGAAGAUAAUGUGAUGUAACUUCUUUUACUAUUUAGCUAGUAGAUCAAAGGGGAUAAUGAAGGAUGGCUGCACACACCAGAACCCAUUCAAUGUCAGCAGCAGGAUGACUGAGAGCAAGAUGGCUGGAAGGGAAAGGGACUGGGGACUGCCACCUCUCUUCUGGCAUUGGCACACAAUGAAAUUGUCUCAGGAUGUCUCAUGGAAGCACUGUCUUAAUGCAAGUACUUGUUAGAAGGAAAAUGGAAAUCAAAGACAGAACU